UAAUACGGGGGGGGCAAGCGUUGUUCGGAAUUACUGGGCGUAAAGGGCUCGUAGGCGGCCAACUAAGUCGGACGUGAAAUCCCUCGGCUUAACCGGGGAACUGCGUCCGAUACUGGAUGGCUUGAGUAUGGGAGAGGGAUGCGGAAUUCCAGGUGUAGCGGUGAAAUGCGUAGAUAUCUGGAGGAACACCGGUGGCGAAGGCGGCAUCCUGGACCAUUACUGACGCUGAGGAGCGAAAGCCAGGGGAGCAAACGGGA
rnacentral:rRNA from 1 species